UGUCGAUUCCGUUUGUCCGCCGUACUUGCUUGGUGAAGGAAAACACCGUGGUACGCACUGGCAUGUCUGCUCCGUUAGGGGUGAUACAACAAUGCCGGAUCCGACACGUCAACCCGUUAAGCGGGUCAUUGUCACGCGUACUUUCCUUCAAUAGGAUGCAUUACAUUCACGGACACAUCUGGAGGCAAACGGGCAGGAGGCUCACCUGAUACUGCCGCCCACUCACACUCA